AACAAUAAUGAAUGACGAACUUGUCAUUGGAAUAAAAGCGCCGACUUUCAACAUUAUUUAAAAAGUAAGGUUUCCACAAUUGCGAUUUAAUUACCAAAAUGUUGUGAAUCAUGCAACUGUUAGAUUUCCAAAAUCAUCGCAAUAACCAAUAACUCGCCGUGGAGGUCAAGUGAAGUUGGCCCUUGAUAAGCUGCAGCCUACGUGUGUUGCAUUUCAACCUCACACCGUAACUAUGGGGUUGGAUGAUGUGGUGGGUAUCCUGGAGAAUUACCGAGGCAGAGAGAAGACUUUGAGGACCCUUCAGUAUGGUCUUCUUUUUAUCACGCCUGCAGCAAGGCACUCUCCCAGUACUAAAGCUGUUCUUGAGGGAAUCAGUGCCCAGAUUGGAGGUGUCCGUGUAAUCCUGCGUCUUUUUGAUGACCUGUCCAUGUUCCAAUAUUCCAAGGCAGUGCUGAAGCAAAGCAAGGAAAAGGACUGGAUAGUGAGGUGGCUGGAAGUGGCCAACAUUGUGGUGGAUCAGCUCUUCUUUCCUGUGGAGCACCUGGCUUGGGCAAGGGAUGUCAAGAUUCUUCGAGGCAGCUCCUCUUCCUUGUGGCAUGCCUCUCUCCUUCUUUGGGCUACUUCUCUGGUUCUUACCAUUUUAAGAUCUUUGCAAAAAAUAUUCCUCUUGAAGCAAAAUAACUCAAGACUGCAAGCAGAGGAAAAAGAUAGGCAAGAGGAGAAGUAUGAAGCAGAGCUGUUGACCAUCAUCAUGCAUGCAGCUGACCUCCUCAAUGCACUCAACUGGUUGCCUAACAGACCUUGGAGCAAAUCCUUCCCCGUGUGGCAGGUAAGGUCACAGUGCACCUGGAGGCCUUGGCACCUGCCUUUCCCUUUAUGGCAGGUAGGAGUGUUUGGUUUGGUGUCAUCUUUAAUUGGCUUCCAGAAACUUCUUCAACCAAGAUUAUGAAGCAAGUCAAUGUGACUAGUGUUGUGGUAAACUAGUGAUUUAUCUACACAAAUAAUCUAUAUCUUCAGAUGUCUUCAUCUCAGCACACCAACAGCAGCUGAGUCUGAGUCAGCCCUGGCCUCCAGUAGCAUGUCACAAGGCCACUGCACUUACCCUCAGCUCCUUAGUGAUGAGCUAAAAUCAGAGAGAUAACAACAAAGGAGAAAAGAUAGAGAUGACAGUAGAGGUGGUAAAAUUAGAACAGUAAACCUUCAUGUGUUUUACACUAAUCAUUUUUACAAUGUAUGAAAUUAGUGAAUUUGACAUUAGUUUCCCAGCUUUACAAGUCUUCAUCCAACAUACAUAUACAGGAAAGAAAGAAGUUGCUACAUGUACUAAAGUAGAAGGCAGUGAGUGCGGUGUCCUCAGUGUUUAAUACCACUAGACCACAUGGAAUUAUUUGUGGGUCACAAUGCAGGCAGGUUUUCAUUGAUGGUUAGUGUUAACUUAAAUAUUGUAUGUAAAAUUUUAGAAGUAACCUCUCAUAACUUUGACUACCCAAAGUUUCCUUUCUUAAUGUAUCAUCACACAAGAUGAACAAAUUUAACAUUCACUUUUUUUUUUUUUACACACAUACAUACAGAAACCAUAAAUCACCUUGAAAACACCUGUUUGUGUAUCAUGGAAGAUGUAGGAUAAAAACAAGAGAGAAAAUUAAAAAAGAAAUCUGAAUAAGUAAGUAUUUGCAACAGAAAUAUCAGAAAAGAAACAUGUUUUAAAAACUAGUUAUACAUGCACAUUAUAUUGUGCAAUAUUUUCCACAAAGAUGUCCAGUGAAUGACAAGAAUUUACCAGAUGUGCAACUUCCAAACAUGUAUUAGGUGAAUUAGGAUGGAUAUUGAAGGGAUUACUGUUUGCAAUUUUCAUGUAAACCUUGAAUAUUACAUUGAAGAUUAUAAUGGUUGGUGUAUAGUAGGAUGUCACUUACAUGUGGCUGGUUCAUUUAAAACAUUUAGGUGCUAUUCAAGAUAAGCUAAUGUCAUGCAGGUCCAGUGUUACUAUAUAUUAUGAUCCUGUCUUUGUCCAAGAUCCCUUCAUUAAAGUGGGGUAGUUGAGACAAAACUGUGCCUUCUUUCAUUUAUGAAUAAAGAUAUUACAGAGAAA